rnacentral:lncRNA from 1 species
AUCUUGCUCUGCAUCACUUCUACCCCAAAUGCCAGGUUCAUAUGAAUCCUAACAACUGAAAAUACUGACCUAAGCAAGAUGGUGACGAAAUGGGUUGCGAGCAGACUGAAGCUGAUGAUGAAAUAAAGGAACAGCAAGUGUCUGUCUGGCUCAUUCAACCCAAAAAUUUGAUUCAAAUUAGAUGCUUAGUCACUGGGAGAAAAGAGGAAAAAAAAAACAAACAAACAAGGAGGAGUCAGUGUAUGGGAAGAGAAGACUACAGCCAUCAUUUCAAGAGAGAAAAAUGGCUCCCCAGCUCCAUAGCCAGGCUGACAAUCAAGGAACAAGAGAAUGUAGGAUCUUGGGAGUCCUCCCCUGCAAGCCCCAGUUUCAUGUCAUCCUGCCAGGUGGGUUCCAGAGAAGCUGGGACUUGGAGCUUGCCGCAGCCUGGUAGGGCCAUGCAUCUGGGAACCCCAAGUUUCUGGAAGCUCCUGCUGCUGGUAGGCUCCGGAAUGAGAUGCUGUGAAGCUGGAAUUUUGGUUGCUAAUGUCUGACACAAAACAGGAACUACUAUUUGACCUGCAAUAAAACCAACAUCUCCUCAGGGUGCUUCUUUGUU